rnacentral:rRNA from 1 species
AUACGGAGGAUCCGAGCGUUAUCCGGAUUUAUUGGGAUUAAAGGGUGCGCAGGCGGCCAUUUAAGUCAGCGGUUAAAUCGUGGGGCUCAACCCCAUUCUGCCGUUGAUACUGGGUGGCUUGAUUGCGGUCGAGGCUGGCGGAAUUCGUUGUGUAGCGGUGAAAUGCAUAGAUAUGACGAAGAACACCGAUUGCGUAGGCAGCUGACCAGACCGCAAAUGACGCUCAUGCACGAAAGUGCGGUGAUCGAACAGGAUUAGAUACCCUGGUAGUCCGCACAGUAAACGAUGAAUACUUGUUUUCGGCGAUAUAAUGUCGGAGGCAAAACGAAAGCGAUAAGUAUUCCACCUGGGGAGUACGCCGGCAACGGUGAAACUCAAAGGAAUUGACGGGG